rnacentral:tRNA from 1 species
GAUAAAGAGAGGAGUUAAACCAAUGUGAGUAGGACUACAGCCUACCGCCUUCCGCUCGGCCACUUUACC